rnacentral:rRNA from 1 species
AUUGAACGCUGGCGGAAUGCUUUACACAUGCAAGUCGAACGGUAGAGGGGGCAACCCCUCGAGAGUGGCGAACGGGUGAGUAAUAUAUCGGAACGUGCCCAGUCGUGGGGGAUAACGUAGCGAAAGUUACGCUAAUACCGCAUACGAUCUACGGAUGAAAGCGGGGGAUCGCAAGACCUCGCGCGAUUGGAGCGGCCGAUAUCAGAUUAGGUAGUUGGUGGGGUAAAGGCUCACCAAGCCAACGAUCUGUAGCUGGUCUGAGAGGACGACCAGCCACACUGGAACUGAGACACGGUCCAGACUCCUACGGGAGGCAGCAGUGGGGGAAUUUUGGACAAUGGACGCAAGUCUGAUCCAGCCAUUCCGCGUGCGGGAAG